UGGGGAAUAUUGCACAAUGGGGGAAACCCUGAUGCAGCGACGCCGCGUGAGCGAAGAAGGCUUUCGAGUCGUAAAGCUCUGUCCUAUGAGAAGAUAAUGACGGUAUCAUAGGAGGAAGCCCUGGCUAAAUACGUGCCAGCAGCCGCGGUAAUACGUAUGGGGCGAGCGUUGUCCGGAAUUAUUGGGCGUAAAGGGUACGUAGGUGGUUUUUUAAGUCAGGUGUCAAAGCGUGGAGCUUAACUCCAUUAGGCACUUGAAACUGAAAGACUUGAGUGAAGGAGAGGAAAGUGGAAUUCCUAGUGUGGCGGUGAAAUGCGUAGAUAUUAGGAGGAAUACCGGUGGCGAAGGCGACUUUCUGGACUUUUACUGACGCUCAGGUACGAAAGCGUGGGGAGCAAACAGG
rnacentral:rRNA from 1 species